rnacentral:ncRNA from 1 species
CACUGCCCAUCGCUCCUACCGAUUGAAUGGUCCAGUGAAGUGUUUCGAUCAUGGCGAUGGUGGCGGUCCACCGUUGGCGACGUCUCGAGAAGUCCACUGAACCUUAUCAUUUACAGAAAGGAGAAGUCGUAACAAGAAUUCCAUAUGUGAACCUGUGGAAG